GAUGAACGCUGGCGGCGUGCCUAAUACAUGCAAGUCGAACGGACGGACGCGUAGCUUGCUUCUCUGAUGUUAGCCGCGGACGUAUGAGUAACGCAUGGAUACCCUACCUAUAAGACUGGGAUAACUUCGGGAAACCGGUGCUAAUACCGGAUAAUAUUUUCAUGCGCAUGGUUCAAAAGUUAAGGACGGUCUUGCUGUCACCUAUACAUAGAUCCGCGCUGCAUUAGCUAGGUGUUAAGGUAACGGCUUACCAAGGCAGCGAUGGAUGGCCGACCUGAGAGGGGGUAGCGGCACAGUGGGACUGAGACGCGGUCUAGAGUCCUAGGGGAGGCAGAGAUAGGGAAUGGAGCGAAAUGGGCGAAAUCUUGCAGGAGGAGCGCAGGGCGAGUGAAGAAGGUCCUCGUAUCGUAAAACGCUCUUAGGAGUGAAGAACGUAUGUGGAAGUAACUGUGCAUAUCUUGACGGUACCUAAACAGAAAGCAACGGCUAACUACGUG
rnacentral:rRNA from 1 species